rnacentral:misc_RNA from 1 species
UGCACAAAGUCCUCGGUCCGUGAG